AAUUGCUAACAUGAAUAUUCGAGUUCUUGUCUUUUAUCCUAAGUUACUCAAACAACUCUUCGUUUUUAUUGAGGCACACAUGUCUGACUGAUAUCUGGACAUGGGUAUGGCUAUAUGACCCUCGAAGGUCCCUCAAAUAUAUGGUUUUUCUCUUUGACGGAAGGUUCCUCAAGCUGAUGUGAAGAAUUUUUUGAGUCCGCGUGCGGUGAGGUCACUCGCUUGAGGAUUUUAGGGGACAAUGUGCAUUCAACUCGUAUCACUGCAAAUCUAGACGCUUUAAGUUAGGUGAUAUGCUUGACUAAAAUCAAGUGGCUCGAUUUUAGCAAGUGUUUUGUGUGAGAUUAUUGUGAAAGCCGGCCUGAUUUACAUGCGGAAAGUGCCAUUGUUGCAUUGAGUUGUAGUGGAUUGGUGCUAGGAACUCAGCCGAUCAGGGUAAGUCCUUCAAAAACACCAGUGAGGCCACGAGUUACCCGACCAACGUCGGGUUAACCAAUCGACCUAGCCAUUUAAAACAUAUGGAUGGAAUUGGGUGACUUCCCGAUCGCAACUCUGUUGUGUCGAAAGGAUGGUAAAAACUUUCAUCGGUUUCUUUCUUUCCAUCUUUCCGGACGCAACCAUUUCGUUUUGUUUUUCUUUUAUCUUUGCUCAAAGAUGUCGUCACCAUGUUUCGGAUUCAGAAACCUCGAGAACUUUUAACCUUAUUUCAUCCCUUUGUUUU